UACGUAGGGUGCGAGCGUUUAAUCGGAAUUACUGGGCGUAAAGCGUGCGCAGGCGGCGCGUUAAGACAGGUGUGAAAGCCCCGAGCUUAACUUGGGAAUUGCGCUUGUGACUGGCGUGCUGGAGUGUGGCAGAGGGGAGGUGGAAUUCCACGUGUAGCAGUGAAAUGCGUAGAGAUGUGGAGGAACACCGAUGGCGAAGGCAGCCUCCUGGGCCAGCACUGACGCUCAUGCACGAAAGCGUGGGGAGCAAACAGG
rnacentral:rRNA from 1 species